rnacentral:rRNA from 1 species
GGGGACCCCAAGUGCCACUCUUAACGGGGUGGCUUUUCUUGAGUGUAAAAAGCUUUUGGAAUAAGGGCUGAGCAAGACCGGUGCCAGCCGCCGCGGUAACACCGGCAGCUCAAGUGGUAGCCAUUUUUAUUGGGCCUAAAGCGUUCGUAGCCGGUUUGAUAAGUCUCUGGUGAAAUCCUAUGGCUUAACUGUGGGAAUUGCUGGAGAUACUAUUAGACUUGAGGUCGGGAGAGGUUAGCGGUACUCCCAGGGUAGGGGUGAAAUCCUGUAAUCCUGGGAGGACCACCUGUGGCGAAGGCGGCUAACUGGAACGAACCUGACGGUGAGGGACGAAAGCCAGGGGCGCGAACCGGAUUAGAUACCCGGGUAGU